rnacentral:lncRNA from 1 species
AAACAUGUCUUAAGAGUUUGAAAACCGUACAUUCAUUUUUUUGAUUAUUACUGAUUCAGUUUUCUUGUUAUUUGGUGGAUUUCAAUAAUUCUCACAUCCAUUCGAGCAAUACCCAUUCGUUUGUUGCAAACAAUUUUUAUUAUUUGUAUUCAUGUUUUCUACCUAUUUCAGUGGUAUGAGAACUAUGAUUGACGCUAGAUUAAUGCUUUUGAGGUGAGGUUUAAGCUGUUUGAGACCAACUUACAAGAAUAGGUAAUAAACUCAAGGACGUAGUGUCUACCUUAAAUCUUGGAGGUGGCAAUCCUAGGCUACAACCAUCCAUCGACCUUAUUAAGACUUCUACCCUAGUAAAUCCAACCUUUGUUCUUGCCACAGUUCGUUAUCAUGAUCGUCGUAAUGACUAUUACAGUUACAAAGUCAAGGCAAAAAUUUAUGUUUUAAAUGAGAGUCUAGAUUAAGAGGCAUUCCUUUACUGGUUGAAUGAAGGAGAGAUUUUCUGAAAUCAUGAAGGUUGACGAAGAGUAUAAGGUUAAUUACUGCAUACAAACUUAAACGAGAAGCAGAAGCCUAGUGGCAAAGUAUAUAUG